AGCUUUAUAUUCAUAAGAUUAUGAUAAUAGAAUGCAAUUCUAUAGGAGUAAAUAUAUUUACUAAGGCUU
rnacentral:tRNA from 1 species